GAAAUAAUAGCUCAGUUGGUAGAGCACACAACUUAUAAUUGUGGGGUCAAUGGUUCGAGCCCAUUUUAUUUCA
rnacentral:tRNA from 1 species